rnacentral:rRNA from 1 species
AUGAACGCUGGCGGCGUGCCUAAUACAUGCAAGUCGAGCGAACGGACGAGAAGCUUGCUUCUCUGAUGUUAGCGGCGGACGGGUGGGUAACACGUGGAUAACCUACCUAUAAGACUGGGAUAACUUCGGGAAACCGGAGCUAAUACCGGAUAAUAUUUUGAACCGCAUGGUUCAAAAGUGAAAGACGGUCUUGCUGUCACUUAUAGAUGGAUCCGCGCUGCAUUAGCUAGUUGGUAAGGUAACGGCUUACCAAGCAACGAUGCAUAGCCGACCUGAGAGGGUGAUCGGCCACACUGGAACUGAGACACGGUCCAGACUCCUACGGGAGGCAGCAGUAGGGAAUCUUCCGCAAUGGGCGAAAGCCUGACGGAGCAACGCCGCGUGAGUGAUGAAGGUCUUCGGAUCGUAAAACUCUGUUAUUAGGGAAGAACAUAUGUGUAAGUAACUGUGCACAUCUUGACGGUACCUAAUCAGAAAGCCACGGCUAACUACGUG